rnacentral:rRNA from 1 species
UACGAAGGGGGCGAGCGUUGUUCGGAUUUACUGGGCGUAAAGGGCGCGCAGGCGGUCCUGUUUGUCGAGUGUGAAAGCCCCGGGCUCAACCUGGGAGGUGCGCUCGAGACUGGUCUGCUUGAGUUCGGGAGAGGAGAGUGGAAUUCCCAGUGUAGAGGUGAAAUUCGUAGAUAUUGGGAAGAACACCAGUGGCGAAGGCGGCUCACUGGCUCGUAACUGACGCUCAGGCGCGACAGCGUGGGGAUCAAACAGG